CUGCAACCUACUAUACGGACCUUGGUAUUGAAGAUUCAGACAUAUUUGUCUCUGAUGGUGCCAAAUGUAACAUAUCUCGCUUGCAGGUACUUUUUGGAUCUAAUGUGACAAUUGCGGUCCAAGAUCCAUCAUACCCUGCAUAUGUUGAUUCAAGUGUUAUCACGGGCCAAACUGGCUUAUAUCAGCAAGAUGUUCAG